UAAAAGGUUUGAGAUCAAUUCUCAUCUUGUGUGCUCUGCAGCAGGAAACCCUGAUUGUGAUUCGAGACAUUCUCUCUCUGUCGGCCUCUCUUUCAAAAUGCAGAGACUGAAACAUUUGUCAUUGGGCUGAAAGAGGGGAGGCUGGUUUUGCUGGGACAACUAAGGCCCCAAGAGGAGAAAGGCACCCUCUGGGGCAGAGAGGCCAUUGAGUCAGAGCCAGGACCAAUAUCUCACCAGCUUUUCUUCUUCAACGCUGACCCCCGCUCACCAACAGUGGCUUCCUGAAUUGCUGGGUUAAGCAGGAUUCUGAGGCACUGCAGGGAGAUGGGAGAAAUAAGGACAAGAUAUGCUUUGGAGCCUGGAGGAGUUUAUGUCUAGUGGAUCCACUCACAGCCAUCUUCUCAACAAGGCUAAUCAACUUUGUCAGAAGCAAAUACAUCCCAGGAUUGAAAGGACAUAAAUGAAAAUGCCACUCAGACCCAGAGUUCUUGUAGAACUCGGAAAGGACACAGGAAAGACCAGCCAGCUCCUCUGUGUCUCAGUUGUCACCAGAUCUACUGCCGUUGGGGGGAUGGGUAACCCUGGGGUGACGGAUUGAAAUGCUGCACCUUAUUUCUCUCAUGAUUACCGGAAUAAUUCCAGCCUAAGAGAGGAAGGAAAUUGAACAAAACAAGAACAAGGGUGGGUGGGAGCGAAGGCCAAACAGAACAACAAAUUGUAAAAUACAGGAUCUGGGGCCAAGCUUCAACAUGCCAGGAGGGGAAAAACCCAGCCCAAGGAGCGGGACACGGCUGUGUGCAGAGAUUCGGAAGGAUGAACGAGUUCCCAAACUUGCCUGGGGACUGUGGCUCCCUAAAAUGGCCUUCUGUGCCCCCUCAAAUUCAACAGCAGCUGAUGACAAUGGGCGCCGUGAGUACAAGUCAGGGGCCCACAGGCUUGCAGAGGAAAGAGGUCUGAGUCAGUGGUGAGACUCGAGGUUGAUAUUUUAUUAGUUUCUUCCUGGAAUUUGUGGGUCUUCCGAGUUGCAAACCCAAACCAAAUGUUCCCUUUGAGCGUUCCUGGCUUCGCAAUUAUCAUUUGCGUUUGUGUGGGGGUUGGAGGGAAGAGGAUGGUUUAGAGAGAAUGUCUUUUCAAGUGCAGGCAUUAGAAGGGUCUUCCCAGCAGCUGUGGCGGGGGAGACCGGGCCGGUGGACUACAACCUGCCAUGAGCACACACGGCCAGGCAGCGAUCCGCAGGGGCCACUUCACAUACACACACACACACACACACACACACACACACACACACACGGAGACGCAGAGGUGGGGAAUCAAGGGCCCAAACGGAGAUCGACGACGGCGAUCAACGAUUCCUUCAUAAAGACUGGAAAGAAAAUGGUUUGGUUUUGAUUUUACUUUCAAGUGAGUUUCACACUGGGAAAACACUCCCAAAGAUCCUGAACGAACCGUGACUCCAUUUCCCUCUCCUGAGUUUUUCAGGAUGUCACCAGGUUCCCUAUCAGACACGUGCAUCUUGUUGUUGUUGUGAGAUGGAGUCUCACUCUGUCAUCCAGGCUGGAGUGCAGUGGUGCGAUCUCCAUUCAUUGCAACCUCUGCCUCCCGGGUUCAAGUGAUUCUCAUGCCUCAGCCUCCAAGUAGCUGGGAUUACAGGCGCGCACCUCCACACCCAGCUAAUUUUUGUAUUUUUAGUAGAGAUGGGAUUUCGCUAUGUUGGCCAGGCUGGCCUCAAACUCCUGGCCUCAAGUGAUCCACCCGCCUUGGCCUCCCAAAGUGCUGGGAUUACAGACGUGAGCCAUCAACUUGGCUGGACACAUUCAUCUUUAGACCCAUGCAUGCUCCAGCCUGAGGGAUGGGGCUGAUGGUGAAAUGCAUCCAUGACACUUAAUAUUCUGAAAUGUAAUUCAUGACUGUUCCAACAGAACUUGCCCCUCCAAACCCCACUGAGCCCCUAACUUUAGAGCUUCGAUUUUAGAAUUAUUCCCAUUUUACUAACAAGGAAGCUGAAGGUAGAAGGGAAGUGUCUUUAGUCAGCCAGGAAACAGUUGACAACUUUAACACCCAAAAUUUCAACUUUCAUAUUUCUUGUAUCCCUCUAGGCCACGCCCACUGCCUGCAGACUAAGAAUGGUUUUUACAUUUUAAAAUGUUUAGCAGGGGCCCUGUGUGGUGGCUCACGCCUGUAAUCCCAGCACUUUGGGAGGCUGAGGCAGAAGGAUGACCUGAGGCCAGCAGUUGGAGGCCAGCCUGGCUGAUAUGGCAAAACCCUGACACUUCUAAAAGUAUAACAAUUAGUUGGGUGUGGUGGCGGGGUGCCUGUAAUCCCAGCUACUCGAGAGACAGAGGGACAAGAAUCGGCUUAACCUGGAAGGUGGAGGCUGCAUUGAACUGAGACCAUGCCACUGAACUCCAGCCUGGGCAACAGAGCAAAACUCUGCCUCAACAACAACAAAAAGGUGGAGAGGUAAACAGAGUGUAGCCUACAUGGGUGCCGAUCAUCGAGUUUUAGCCAAUCAAAUGUAGCCAACUGUUUGAACUGUGUUCAAAUGAGGCAAACGCUGAGCUGUAACCAAUCCAGCUGUUUCUGUACCUCAUUCCCAUUUUCUGCACCUUGCUUUCCUUUUUCUGUCUAUAAAUCACCUACCACAUGGCUGGGCUGGAGCAUCUGAGCAUACUCUGAGGCUGCCCAAUUCAUGAAUCAUUCAUUGCUCAGUUAAACUCCUUUAAAUUUAAUCCAGCUGAAGUUUUUAUUUUACCAAGAGCAAGACCUUGUCUCUAAAUAAUAAUAACAUAAAAUCAGGCCAGGCGUGGUGGCUCAUGCCUGUAAUCCAAGCACUUUGGGAGGCUGAGGUGAGUGGAUCACGAGGUCAAGAGAUCGAGACCCUCCUGGUCAACAUGGUGAAACCCCGUCUCUACUAGAAAUACAAAAAAUUAGCUGGGCACAGUGGCGCGUGCCCGUAAUCCCAGCUACUCAGGAGGCUGAGGCAGGAGAAUUGCCUGUACCCAGGAGGUGGAGGUUGCGGUGAGCCAAGAUCGCGCCAUUGCACUCCAGCCUGGGUAACAAGAGCGAAACUCCAUCUCAAAAAAAAAAUAAUAAUAUAAAAUCAAAGUAAAGUGUCUAUGAAUAAAGUUAUGUUGGCCAAUGGCCAUGCCCACUUGUUUACAGAUUGUCUAUGGCACAUUUUGUGCCUCAAUGGCAGGGUUGAGUGCAGGUGUCUCUCGGUAUCUGCGGGGGCUUGGUUGGUUCCAGGACCUCCCAGAUUACUAAAAUCCACAGGUGAUCAAGUCCCUGAUAUAAAAUGGUGUAGUACUUGGCCAGGCGCAGUGGCCCAUGCCUGUAAUCCCAGCACUUUGAGAGGCCUAGGUGGGUGGAUCACAAGGUCAGGAGUUCGAGACCAGCCUGGCCAAUAUGCUGAAACUCCCAUCCCUACUAAAAAUACAAAAAUUAGCCAGGCAUGGUGGCAGUUGCCUGUAAUCCCACCUACUCGGGAGGCUGAGGCAGGAGAAUCGCUUGAACCCAGGAGGUGGAGGUUGCAGUGAGCUGAGAUCGUGUCACUGCACUCCAGCCUGGUGGACAGAGGGAGACUCCAUCUCAAAAAAAAGGUAUAGUACUUGAAUAUAACCUAUGCACAUUCCCCUGUGACUUUAAACCAUCUCUAGAUUACUUAUGGUGCCCAAUACAAUGUAAGUAGUUAUGCUGUAUCGUUAUUUAAUUUGUAUUAUUUUAUUGUGGUUAUUUUUAAUGUUGUUUUUGAUAUUUUUUAUCUGCAAUUGGUUGAAUCCUUGGAUUUGGAAGCUGAGGAUAGAGAGGGCUGGCUGUAGUUGCAGCAGAGACCAUGUGUCCUGAAAAGCUGAAAAUAUUUACUAUCUGCUCCUUUCUAGGAAAAGUGUGUCAACCCUUGCCCUAGGCCACUGAGUACAUGGGAGAAAGCAAAGGGAGCCCCUUGGCCACCGAAUAAAGUGGAAGUCUUUACCACGGCACUUAAGAAAUCUACAAAUAGCCUCGAUCCUCAUUUUCAAGGUUAUGCCCUACUCACUCAUCUCAUACCAAAGUCAAUCUCAAAAAUCCAUCUACCAUCAUUGUGAGCAGCACUAAAUCCAUAUGGGCCUGCAGCAACUUGAUUCUUACCUCCUCGGAGGAAAGAAUUCAGCCAAGGGGCAUAAGGCAGAGUGAAAGUCCAGGGCAAGUUUUAGAGCAGGAGUAAAAGUUUAUUAAAAAGUUUGAGAGCAGGAACAAAAGGAAGUGCACUUGGAAGAAGACCAAGGGGGUGACUUGAGAGACCCAAGGGUGUUGUCCAGCCUUUGACCUGGGGUUUUAUACAUUGGCAUGGUCCCUGGGUGUCCAUUUCUUCUUCCUAAUUCUUCCUUGGGGUGGGCUGUCCACGUGAGCAGGGGGCUUUUGGCACUUAGGAGGGGACACAUGCACAGUCUGUUUACUGAAGUUAUGCGCAUGCUCGUUUGAGGCAUUCUUCCCCUACCAGUCGAGUGUUGCUAGAGGAAGGUCUUGUAUCAUUUAAACCCUGCCAUUGUGCCCUCUUGUGCACACGCUUGAGCCCACUCGCCCAACUGCCGAGAUCUUAUCCAGAAGUGGCUCUCACCAGCCCCAGGUGUUUUCUAUCUAUUGGGAGCCUGCCUUUCCCCGGCGCCAGCUGUGACCAGUUUUUAUUCUAUUUAUUUAUUUAGGCAAGGAGUCUCGCUCUGUCACCCAGGCUGGAGUGCAAUGGCACACGACCUCGGCUCACUAUAACCUCUGCCUCCCAGGUUCAAGUGAUUCCCCUGCCUCAGCCUCCUGAGUAGCUGGGAUUACAGGCACCCACCAUCAUGCCUGGCUGAUUUCUGUAUUUUUAGUAGAGAUGGGGUUUCACCAUGUUGGCCAGGCUGGUCUCUAACUCCUGACCACAGGUGACUCACCUGCC